rnacentral:tRNA from 1 species
CGGUAGAAGAGCCAGAGGGGGGUGUUUUGAAGACAUUUAAUAGAGAUUUUACGGU